UAGAAGCAGCCAUCAUUUAAAGAAAGCGUAAUAGCUCACUGGUCGAGUCGGCCUGCGCGGAAGAUGUAACGGGGCUAAACCAUGCACCGAAGCUGCGGCAGCGACACUGUGUGUUGUUGGGUAGGGGAGCGUUCUGUAAGCCUGUGAAGGUGUGUCGUGAGGCAUGCUGGAGGUAUCAGAAGUGCGAAUGCUGACAUAAGUAACGAUAAAGCGGGUGAAAAGCCCGCUCGCCGGAAGACCAAGGGUUCCUGUCCAACGUUAAUCGGGGCAGGGUGAGUCGACCCCUAAGGCGAGGCCGAAAGGCGUAGUCGAUGGGAAACGGGUUAAUAUUCCCGUACUUGGUGUUACUGCGAAGGGGGGACGGAGAAGGCUAUGUUGGCCGGGCGACGGUUGUCCCGGUUUAAGCGUGUAGGUGUGUGUUCCAGGUAAAUCCGGUUCACUUUAACACUGAGGCGUGACGACGAGGCACUACGGUGCUGAAGCAACAAAUGCCCUGCUUCCAGGAAAAGCCUCUAAGCAUCAGGUAACAUCAAAUCGUACCCCAAACCGACACAGGUGGUCAGGUAGAGAAUACCAAGGCGCUUGAGAGAACUCGGGUGAAGGAACUAGGCAAAAUGGUGCCGUAACUUCGGGAGAAGGCACGCUGACACGUAGGUGAAGUGAUUUACUCAUGGAGCUGAAGUCAGUCGAAGAUACCAGCUGGCUGCAACUGUUUAUUAAAAACACAGCACUGUGCAAACACGAAAGUGGACGUAUACGGUGUGACGCCUGCCCGGUGCCGGAAGGUUAAUUGAUGGGGUCAGCGCAAGCGAAGCUCCUGAUCGAAGCCCCGGUAAACGGCGGCCGUAACUAUAACGGUCCUAAGGUAGCGAAAUUCCUUGUCGGGUAAGUUCCGACCUGCACGAAUGGCGUAAUGAUGGCCAGGCUGUCUCCACCCGAGACUCAGUGAAAUUGAACUCGCUGUGAAGAUGCAGUGUACCCGCGGCAAGACGGAAAGACCCCGUGAACCUUUACUAUAGCUUGACACUGAACAUUGAGCCUUGAUGUGUAGGAUAGGUGGGAGGCUUUGAAGUGUGGACGCCAGUCUGCAUGGAGCCGACCUUGAAAUACCACCCUUUAAUGUUUGAUGUUCUAACGUGGACCCGUUACCCGGGUUGCGGACAGUGUCUGGUGGGUAGUUUGACUGGGGCGGUCUCCUCCUAAAGAGUAACGGAGGAGCACGAAGGUUGGCUAAUCCUGGUCGGACAUCAGGAGGUUAGUGCAAUGGCAUAAGCCAGCUUGACUGCGAGCGUGACGGCGCGAGCAGGUGCGAAAGCAGGUCAUAGUGAUCCGGUGGUUCUGAAUGGAAGGGCCAUCGCUCAACGGAUAAAAGGUACUCCGGGGAUAACAGGCUGAUACCGCCCAAGAGUUCAUAUCGACGGCGGUGUUUGGCACCUCGAUGUCGGCUCAUCACAUCCUGGGGCUGAAGUAGGUCCCAAGGGUAUGGCUGUUCGCCAUUUAAAGUGGUACGCGAGCUGGGUUUAGAACGUCGUGAGACAGUUCGGUCCCUAUCUGCCGUGGGCGCUGGAGAACUGAGGGGGGCUGCUCCUAGUACGAGAGGACCGGAGUGGACGCAUCACUGGUGUUCGGGUUGUCAUGCCAAUGGCACUGCCCGGUAGCUAAAUGCGGAAGAGAUAAGUGCUGAAAGCAUCUAAGCACGAAACUUGCCCCGA
rnacentral:rRNA from 1 species